rnacentral:rRNA from 1 species
UACGUAUGGAGCAAGCGUUAUCCGGAUUUACUGGGUGUAAAGGGAGCGCAGGCGGCUUUGCAAGUCUGAUGUGAAAGGCCGGGGCUCAACCCCGGGACUGCAUUGGAAACUGUAAAGCUAGAGUGCCGGAGAGGUAAGCGGAAUUCCUAGUGUAGCGGUGAAAUGCGUAGAUAUUAGGAGGAACGCCAGUGGCGAAGGCGGCUUACUGGACGGCAACUGACGCUGAGGCUCGAAAGCGUGGGGAGCAAACAGG